UGUGAUGAUGAACAUAUUGACUAUAAAUACGCUAUACAAUGGAAUUACCGGCCGAGACCUUUACUCAGGUCGCUGGCGAUAUUAGGCUAUGCUGAUU
rnacentral:snoRNA from 1 species